GUUCUUGGGAUGCAUUUUGUGCAGUUAUGUAUAAAAUUGAAAAUAGAAUCAUCACUGGGCAAAGUGUGUCUCGAGAU
rnacentral:pre_miRNA from 12 species